rnacentral:rRNA from 1 species
AAGGCUGAAAUUCGCCUUCAUGAAGCUGGAAUUGCUAGUAAUGGCAGGUCAGCAUACUGCCGUGAAUACGUUCCCGGGCCUUGUACACACCGCCCGUCACACCAUGAGAGUUGGGAAUACCCGAAGCCUGUGAGCUAACAUAUGAGGCAGCAGUCGAAGGUAGAAUCAAUGAUUGGGGUGAAGUCGUAACAAGGUAUC